UACGGAGGGUGCAAGCGUUAUCCGGAUUCACUGGGUUUAAAGGGCGCGUAGGCGGCCUGUUAAGUCGAACGUGAAAUCCCUGGGCUCAACCCAGGAACUGCGUCCGAUACUGGCAGGCUUGAAUUCGGGAGAGGGAUGCGGAAUUCCAGGUGUAGCGGUGAAAUGCGUAGAUAUCUGGAGGAACACCGGUGGCGAAGGCGGCAUCCUGGACCGAUAUUGACGCUGAGACGCGAAAGCGUGGGGAGCGAACAGG
rnacentral:rRNA from 1 species